CGUAAGGUGUUGUUUUGAUUUCAUGAAACGAUCUCUGCCACAAUCAUUCGGCGUAAAUUUUGCAUUGAGUACGCUAAAGAACCCCAGGGCAGGCCUACAGUUUACUGUCAGCGAAGGCCAGCAAAGGUUGAUUGGGGGGAGCCAAAAUUCGUGCCGUCGCAAAUCUUUGUACAGUGCAGACCAUCCAUGCAGAGAAGAUGAUGCAGUUGAGUCAGCAGCUGUUGAAAGAGAUGGGGACCAAUCCGGAACCAGAAAAGAAGAUAACUACCAAACAGAAGAUGCAUAGUUACCCAUAGUGAAGACAGUGAUGUCUGUAAGGAAUGUGCUACAGUGUUGGAAAGUGGAAUUUCCAGUGCAAAUAGUGAAGGGGGGUUGCCACAGUCUUGACAUCUGGCAAAACUAAGAGCGGGUGGUUGUGUCUCUUUGAAUGUUUUUUAGCUACCACGACUGAAGUUAACCUGUCUGAUCCAACACCAGUAGAAGUUGCCUUAGCCUCAGUUCACAUGGACAAAUGGUAUACAGCCAUGGAGUUAAAAGUGAAUAGCCUAAAACAUUAUAAUACAUGGCAGUUUGUCGACAGAUCAAAAGUUGAUCACAUUAUAGGAAGUAAGUGGGUAUUUACAACAAAGCAAAACAGAGGUGAUAUCACUAAGUAGAAGGUAAGGUUAGUAGCUCUGUGUUAUAGCCACAUAUUUGGUGUAGAUUAUUGGGAAAGCUGAAGCCCAGUUAUGAGACAAAGUAGGUUGAGGAUUCCAAUAGCAAUUGUGGUACUAAGAUGAUGGAAAAUCAAACAGUUUUAUGUUCUACAUAAGUGGGACUGUUUUCAUGGAACAACUAAAACUGUUUAGUGUGGGGAAUAAAGUGUAUUUGUUGAAUAAGAGUUUGUAUAGGCUUCACCAAGCACACAAGGAUUGGAAUGACUUUUUCUGCUCUUUCCUGAUAAAGUUAGGUUUGAAAUCAUUUGAAAAGUAUCCUUGUUUAUUCUUCUCUAACAAUAUGAUCAUUAAGGUUUCAUGUUGACAAUGUUGUUGUAAUAGAUGAGGAAGAGAGGAUUGUAACAUGCAAGAAUUUUUUGAAAUUUCACAUUAACAUUAAAGAAAUGGAUGACAUGUUAUUUAUUCUAUGACUCGAGAUUGAACAGUCUCGAGAGCAGGCAAAAUUAAAUCAAACUAGCUAUAUCGAGCAGAUGCUAAGAGGAUGCAUGGGUAUUUCCUCAGUUGUAUUUUAUCUAAUGAAGCAAAUACAUGUUUUAAGUUUAGAAAGAAUUGUUACGUAAUUUUAUUUUUUUUUUUUUUUUUUUAGUCCAUUACAUUUACCCAGAAAUAUGUGAGCAAGAAGGGGAUUACCAAGCAGCAUUCAAUAGAGCUAUUGUUGGAGAGACAUCUCGCAACAAUGGAACGCACACAACUGAUGGUGAUUUUACUAUGAUGCUGACAGGCAAAUUUUCAAAGAAAAGUGGAGAAGAUAUAAAAAAAGAAAGAAUAUUUCAAGCAGAGAGAUGAAAAAAAUACAUCAGUAGCUUACUGGUAAGACAAUCAAGCACUUCAGGUUUUAAAGUCAGCAUUUCACAUGUUAUUUGCAAAUAAAGUUACAUUCAAAAAAACUCAUAGUAGAAGAUAAUCAUGUUAGUUUCUUAUGAUCUAUGGAUAGGACAGUCAAAGAAUCGAGUGAUUUAGGAAAGGAAAAAUGAAAUCACCAAGCUGGGGUAGGCACUGUUCACCAGAUAGCGUGAUCGCAAUAGCGUAGUGAUUCUUGUACCUAUCUGAACCCGCAACAGGUUAUUUUGUAAGAUUUUUAAGCUCCUUAGUUUUUGUUAUUUUAAUUUAUUAUUUUUUCAGAAGUAAAACAGUUGUGUUUUUAUGAGAACCUAAUAAAUAUCAUAAUUACAA